rnacentral:lncRNA from 1 species
UGGCCCAAAAUUUCUCCAGGUUAAUAAUUUGCCAAAACUGACUUGCUACCCUCUUAUAUGCAAAAAUGCUUAAUUAAACUGAACUCAGAUGCAAAAACCAAAGCUAGGAAUACCUCUACUUGAAUCUAAAGCAAAGAAUUACAUCAACAGUUCUAAUUUACAAAAAUGAAACUGAGAAAUUCAUUAAAAUAGCAAAGGAUGAAUAAGAG